rnacentral:rRNA from 1 species
UACGGAGGGGGCAAGCGUUAUCCGGAAUUAUUGGGCGUAAAGCGUCCGUAGGUGGUUGGCCCAGUCUGCUGUCAGAGGGUGGGGCUUAACCUCAUAAAGGCAGUGGAAACUGGCGAGCUAGAGUGCGGUAGGGGUAGGGGGAAUUCCCAGUGUAGCGGUGAAAUGCGUAGAGAUUGGGAAGAACAUCGGUGGCGAAAGCGCCAUGCUGGGCCUGCACUGACACUGAGGGACUAAAGCUAGGGGUGCGAAAGGG